rnacentral:rRNA from 1 species
CGGAACGGGUGAGUAAUGCCGUGACCAACCUGCCCCAUGCUCCAGAAUAGCUCUUGGAAACGGGUGGUAAUGCUGGAUGCUCCAACUUGACGCAUGUCUUGUUGGGAAAGUGUUUAGUGGCAUGGGAUGGGGUCGCGUCCUAUCAGCUUGUAGGCGGGGUAAUGGCCCACCUAGGCUUCGACGGGUAGCCGGCCUGAGAGGGCGGACGGCCACAUUGGGACUGAGAUACGGCCCAGACUCCUACGGGAGGCAGCAGCC